CAAACCUGAAAACCAACCCUCCCUUGUUUCCUGCCUUAUUCGAACCACCACCAUCAGUGGCUGCCUUCCACAGAAACCACCACCACCAUUAACCGCCUCACCUACCACCCCUACCACCACUGACUAUCACCAACACCACUCGACCACCGCACGCACCACAACUCCCACCCUCCUCCUCCUCCCGCGCACUCCCCUGCUCUCUCUUUCCUUUCCCCUGCUGCGCCACCACGCCACCAGGCCAUCAUACCACAACCACCAUCAUCAAUUGAUCUCCGUCCCAAUCCCCGGUGAGCCGCCGGAAAGAACCGACCCGAGACACCUCUCCCUAAAAAAAAAAAAAAAAAAAAGAAAUCCCCUGCCUCUCCUCUUCUAUUCGCACAAACAUCCCCUUCCCUCUCGCUAUUCUGCCAUCGUGAAACGCCAUUCAACCACCGCCACCGUCGCCUUUCUCCGGCGCGGUUCCGCGCCUUUGCGCCGCCCAAGCCCAGGCUGCGGCCACCUCCCUUCCCUCUCUCCUUCCCCUUCGUCCGUUCUCCCCUGUUCUUCGCCCCUGCUUCGUGCCUAGUUCCGCGAGAAACAGGUUCCAAUAUUGGAACUUUGUUCCUUUAAUUAUUCAAGCAAGCCCAACUUUCCUUUUAGCCCAAUAGCUCAAGUGAAUUUAGAAAUCAGACUCGGGGCUCAGGAAGAACGAACCAACGAAAAGGCUUAGCAAAUCGCGGAAUUGAGGUACUGCUGGGGACCACGGAAACGAGUAGUGGCGAGGAUUUCACUGUUACCAAGUUCACCUAAGUUAAUGUUAAGUUGUAACAAGUUUAAGUAAAGAUUCUUGAUUAAGUUACGUACUUUUAUUAAGGAAUUAAAAGGAUUAUUAUGUUAAUUUUUGGAGUUUAAUAGCUUAUGAUUGAUAGUUGCCUUGUAAUUCCCAAGAGGGAGUUACGGCAGGUGAUGUCCCGACCGAAUUAGGUUAAUUCCGCUGCUAAGUAUUCCUUAAUAAGUGAUUUAGAGGUCGGGGUGUUACAGAUCCUCCUUUUCUUUUUCUUAAUAGCAACGUUUGAUGUUUCACACUUCACAAUAAUGCAUAGAUUUAACCAGUAAUAUCUUAGAGUUGGAGGUACAAUACGAAUUAGUUAUUAGUAUAUAUGCAUUAAUUCAAAUGAGGUAUCGGUCUAAUGGUAAAGACGGAGGGAAUGUGCACGAUAAUUCCAAGGUUUAUUUCUCCUCCUCCAAUUGUAAUUUGUAUUGUCUUUGUGCUCAUCACACACUCUAAAG